AUGGGGCGAGGCAGUGGCACCUUCGAGCGUCUCCUAUACAAAGCCACCAGCCAGCUUCUGCUAGAGACUGACUGGGAGUCCAUCCUGCAGAUCUGUGACCUGAUCCGUCAGGGGGACACACAAGCAAAAUAUGCUGUAAAUUCCAUCAAGAAGAAAGUCAACGAUAAGAAUCCACAUGUGGCCUUGUAUGCCCUGGAGGUCAUGGAGUCUGUGGUGAAGAACUGUGGCCAGACGGUCCACGAUGAGGUAGCCAACAAACAGACCAUGGAGGAACUGAUGCAGUUGUUGAAGAGGCAAGUAGAAGUAAAUGUCCGGUACAAGAUCCGGUACUUGAUCCAGGGCUAGGGACACGCCUUCCAGAACGAGCCCAAGUACAAGGUGGUCCAGGACACCUACCGGAUCAUGAAAGUGGAAGGACAUGUUUUCCCAGAGUUUAAGGAAAGUGAUGCCAUGUUUGCUGCUGAGAGGGCUCCUGACUGGGUGGAUGCUGAGGAAUGUCACCGGUGCAGAGUGCAGUUUGGGGUGGUAACCCGAAAGCACCACUGCUGGGCAUGCGGGCAGAUCUUCUGCGGCAAGUGCUCCUCUAAGUACUCCACCAUCCCCAAGUUUGGCAUCGAGAAGGAGGUGCGCGUGUGCGAGCCCUGCUAUGAGCAGCUGAACAAGAAAGCAGAAGGAAAGGCCACCUCUACCAUCGAGCUGCCCCCGGAGUAUCUGACCAGCCCCCCUCUCACAGCAGUCCCAGUUGCCGCCAAAGCGAGAUGAGACAGCACUGCAGGAGAAAGAGGAGCUGCAGUAGGCCUUGUCUCUAUCGCAGUCAGAGGCCAAGGAGAAGGAGAGGCUGAGACAGAAGUCAACAUACACAGCACACCCCAAGGUAGAGCCCACACCCCUGGCAUCAUCAGCGCCCCCAGCCAGCAGCCUGUACUCUUCUCCUGUGAAUUCAUCAGCGCCUCUGGCUGAGGACAUCGACCCUGAGCUUGCACGGUAUCUCAAUCGAAACUACUGGGAGAAAAAGCAGGAAGAGGCUCGGAAGAGCCCCACACCAUCUGCACCUGUGCCCCUCACAGAGCCAGCUGCCCAGCCUGGGGAGGGGCACACAGCCCCUGCCAACAUGGUGGAGGCUCCCCUCCGGAGACAGACUCUCAGUCUAUAACUCCCUCUGGUGGCCCAUAUAGCGAGCAGUACCAGAAUGGGGAGUCAGAGGAGAGCCAGGAGCAGUUCCUGAAAGCCUUGCAGAACGCUGUCACCACCUUCGUCAACCGCGUGAACAGUAACCACAUGCGGGGCCCAGCAUCACCAAUGACUCGGCCGGCCAUGCUCUCCCUCUUCCAGUCCAUUAACAGCAUGCACCCGCAGCUGCUCGAGCUCCUCAGCCAACUGGACGAGCGCAGGCUGUACUGUGAGGGACUGCAGGACAAGCUGGCACAGAUCCGUGAUGCCAGGGGGCACUGAGUGCCCUGCGCGAGGAGCACCGGGAAAAGCUGCGCUGGGCAGCAGAGGAGGCUGAGCGCCAGCGUCAGAUACAGCUGGCCCAGAAGCUGGAGAUCAUGCGGCAGAAGAAGCAGGAGUACCUGGAGGUUCAGAGGCAACUGGCCAUCCAACGCCUGCAGGAGCAGGAGAAGGAACGGCAGAUGCGUCUGGAACAACAGAAACAGACCGUCCAGAUGCGCGCUCAGAUGCCUGCUUUCCCCCUGCCCUAUGCCCAGCUCCAGGCCAUGCCCUCGGCUGGGGGUGUGCUCUACCAGCACUCAGGUCAACCAGCUUUCCUGGCACCUUCAGCCCAGCAGGCUCAGUGGAGAGCUCCCCCAUGCAUGGUGUCUACAUGAGCCAGCCAGCCCCAGCUGCUGGCCCCUACUCCAGUAUACCCAGCAACGCAGCAGAUCCCAGCAUGGUGAGCGCCUACAUGUACCCAGCAGGGACUCCUGGGGCACAUACACCCCCCCAGGCGCAGGCUGCACCCACCGCUAGCCCUGCCUACUCAUCGUAUCAGCCCACUCCUACCCCAGGCUACCAGAAUGUGUCCUCCCAGGCCCCACAGAGCCUCCCAGCCAUCUCCCAGCCACCACAGUCUGGUACCAUGGGCUGUAUGGGGAAUCAGUCAGUGGCCAUAGGCUAUCAGCCUUAUAACAUGCAGACUCUCAUGACCACCUUCCCUGGCCAGGAUGCAUCUUUGCCACCCCAGCAGCCCUACAUCACAGGGCAGCAGCCCAUGUACCAGCAGAUGGCGCCCUCCGGUGGCCCUCCCCAGCAGCAGCCGCCAGUGGCCCAGCAAUGACCAGUGGCAGGACCACCAGCACAGGGUAGUGAAGCCCAGCUCAUCUCAUUUGACUGA